CAAGCGGAAGUGACGGUUAUUCCUCCUGCGCGGGAGCUUUGGGGACGCACUUCUGGAUGCCUAGGCCUCUUCCGUUUGCCUCUGGGACUGGCGAUACUCGAGAUGUCUUGAGGCCUUCCAGACCUUGCUCCACCUCCACCACCAGGUCUCCAGUCCUGAGCCACAUGCUGCCAUUUUUGUCUCAGAAGCACCCCUCUUCCAGGUGGAAGAUUGAAGGUCUGAAGAGUGGGAAGUCCCAGGAACAGGCAAUUCCAGGAAGAUAUGAGGAAAAUCAAGAAAGAGAAGGAAACUGAAGCUAGUGGGAAGUGCUUCAAGUUGGAGAUGAUGCUGAGAUGGCCAAAAAUUUUCAAACCUGAGUGAAUGAAUGAAUAAACGGACCUGGGAAUUGAUCAACAAUGGCUGCUGCAUCGCGUAAAGAGAGACGACCAGGUGUCAGCUGGCUGUCAACUGAUCUAGGAUGGUCUUGGAGGGACAACGAGGGCAACCCCAUGUCUCUUCUUUAGCAGGCCAGCCCAGACAUGCUUUCAUGGCUGAAUAGGAGCCAGCCUGGUCAUGGGAGCAAUUUUCAAGCAAGUCUCUGCUUGAAUGUCACAUUUACUAACAUCCUGUUGGCCAAGGUGCAUCCCAUGGCUGAGCCCAGUGUCCAAGUGAAAGGGCACCAGGAAGUUCCCUGCAGCGCUGUGGGUACUGGAAGAAUGGGCGCCAUCUUCAUGACAGCAGCAUGCUAAGUUACAGAAAGUGAGCGGCGUUCUAGACAAAGCAAGCUCAUCUGUGAAUGGAUCAUGGCGGAAACCUGACCACAGUAUGUUGGGAUUUAUGUGUUUGACAUUUUCUAUAAUAGAAAGGCAGAUCAAAAAUAAGGCUCCAGUGCCUCCACUCAGGAAAGCUCAAGUAGGUUUUCUUGAGAAUUUUUAGUGGAUACCCUGUUUUGCAAUGUUCUUUUCUUUUUCUAAUGAGGCUGAACCAGAUUGUAAUGCCAUGAGGCUUCUACAUGGAGAGCUGGACGUUGGUGAGGAUUGGGUGGAGAAGGCCGGGUGGAGGCUGGGCCUGGGAGAAGAGCAGCAGAUUCCCAAACGUACUGGUAUUGGUGCAUACUCUGAGA
rnacentral:lncRNA from 1 species